UGGCGAUGAUGGUGGCCAGGAUCAUGUACUCGAACGGAGUGAGAGGUCAAGGAAUUAACGGGUAAUUAACGGGUAAUUAACGGGUAAUUAACGGGUAAUAACGGCAAUAAUGGCUAAUUAACGGGUAAUUAAUUAACGGUGGCGAUGAUGGUGGCCAGGAUCAUGUACUCGAACGGAGUGAGAGGUCAAGGAAUUAACGGUAAUUAACGGUAAUUAACGGGUAAUUAACGGGAAUUAACGGGAAUUAACGGGGAAUUAACGGGGAAUUAACGGGGUUAUAGGAUAUCCUAUAGGGCAUUCUAUGGGGUGGAUAUGGCCACUCUGUGAUCCUCUUGGCUAUGGGGGUGGGCUAUGGGGUGGGUUAUAGGGGUGGGCUAUAGGGUCAGUCUAUAGGGUGGGUUAUGGGUCAGUCUAUAGGGCAGUCUAUGGGUCAGUCUAUGGGGCGGAUAUGGCCACUCGGUGAUCCUCUUGGCUAUGGGGUGGGUUAUAGGGGAUGCUAUAUGGGUCAGUCUAUGGGGUGGGCUAUAGGGCAUUCUAUGGGGCGGAUAUGGCCACUCAGUGAUCCUCUUGGCUAUGGGGUGGGCUAUAGGGCAGUCUAUAGGGCAGUCUAUAGGGUAUCCUAUAGGGCAGUCUAUAGGGUCUCUAUAGGAUGGAUAUGGCCACUCAGUGAUCCUCUUGGCUAUGGGGUGGGCUAUAGGGCAGUCUAUGGGUCAGUCUAUGGGUCAGUCUAUAGGGCAGUCUAUGGGGUGGGUUAUAGGGUCGGAUAUGGCCACUCAGUGAUCCUCUUGGCGUACUUCCUGACGGCGUUAUCUUCACUGAAGAGGAACAACGAUCUGUUGACUGUGAAGCAGUUCUGUUUAACAGGGAUGGGGUUGUAGAGAGCCAUAGUCCGGGCCCUCUGAGCCAUCGACUGCUUAUACAUCCUUUGGCCGCCAGGGGGCGCCCCAACAGCGACGCCCCCGAUAACGCCGGGACCCCCCCCAGCCGAUCUGGGACCCCCCGAUACAACGCGACCCAUCGAGGAGCCCAACGGGCCCCCCCCGCCCGCCC
rnacentral:lncRNA from 1 species